AGCGAACGCUGGCGGCAGGCCUAACACAUGCAAGUCGAACGAACCUUUCGGGGUUAGUGUCGGACGGGUGAGUAACACGUGGGAACGUGCCUUUAGGUUCGGAAUAACUCAGGGAAACUUGUGCUAAUACCGAAUGUGCCCUUCGGGGGAAAGAUUUAUCGCCUUUAGAGCGGCCCUCGUCUGAUUAGCUAGUUGGUUGAGGUAAUGGCUCACCAAGGCGACGAUCAGUAGCUGGUAUGAGAGGAUGAUCAGCCACAUUGGGACUGAGACACGGCCCAAACUCCUCCGGGAGGCAGCAGUGGGGAACCUUGCGAAAUGGGCGAAAGCCUGACGCAGCCAUGCCGCGUGAAUGAUGAAGGUCUUAGGAUUGUAAAAUUCUUUCAACGGGGACGAUAAUGACGGUACCCGGAGAAGAAGCCCCGGCUAACUUCGUG
rnacentral:rRNA from 1 species